AGAGUUUGAUCCUGGCUCAGGACGAACGCUAGCUACAGGCUUAACACAUGCAAGUCGAGGGGCAGCAUGGUCUUAGCUUGCUAAGACUGAUGGCGACCGGCGCACGGGUGAGUAACACGUAUCCAACCUGCCGUCUACUCUUGGACAGCCUUCUGAAAGGAAGAUUAAUACAAGAUGGCAUCAUGAGUCCGCAUGUUCACAUGAUUAAAGGUAUUCCGGUAGACGAUGGGGAUGCGUUCCAUUAGAUAGUAGGCGGGGUAACGGCCCACCUAGUCUUCGAUGGAUAGGGGUUCUGAGAGGAAGGUCCCCCACAUUGGAACUGAGACACGGUCCAAACUCCUACGGGAGGCAGCAGUGAGGAAUAUUGGUCAAUGGGCGAGAGCCUGAACCAGCCAAGUAGCGUGAAGGAUGACUGCCCUAUGGGUUGUAAACUUCUUUUAUAAAGGAAUAAAGUCGGGUAUGGAUACCCGUUUGCAUGUACUUUAUGAAUAAGGAUCGGCUAACUCCGUGCCAGCAGCCGCGGUAAUACGGAGGAUCCGAGCGUUAUCCGGAUUUAUUGGGUUUAAAGGGAGCGUAGAUGGAUGUUUAAGUCAGUUGUGAAAGUUUGCGGCUCAACCGUAAAAUUGCAGUUGAUACUGGAUAUCUUGAGUGCAGUUGAGGCAGGCGGAAUUCGUGGUGUAGCGGUGAAAUGCUUAGAUAUCACGAAGAACUCCGAUUGCGAAGGCAGCCUGCUAAGCUGCAACUGACAUUGAGGCUCGAAAGUGUGGGUAUCAAACAGGAUUAGAUACCCUGGUAGUCCACACGGUAAACGAUGAAUACUCGCUGUUUGCGAUAUACAGCAAGCGGCCAAGCGAAAGCGUUAAGUAUUCCACCUGGGGAGUACGCCGGCAACGGUGAAACUCAAAGGAAUUGACGGGGGCCCGCACAAGCGGAGGAACAUGUGGUUUAAUUCGAUGGUACGCGAGGAACCUUACCCGGGCUUAAAUUGCAGAUGAAUUACGGUGAAAGCCGUAAGCCGCAAGGCAUCUGUGAAGGUGCUGCAUGGUUGUCGUCAGCUCGUGCCGUGAGGUGUCGGCUUAAGUGCCAUAACGAGCGCAACCCUUGUUGUCAGUUACUAACAGGUUCCGCUGAGGACUCUGACAAGACUGCCAUCGUAAGAUGUGAGGAAGGUGGGGAUGACGUCAAAUCAGCACGGCCCUUACGUCCGGGGCUACACACGUGUUACAAUGGGGGGUACAGAGGGCCGCUACCACGCGAGUGGAUGCCAAUCCCCAAAACCUCUCUCAGUUCGGACUGGAGUCUGCAACCCGACUCCACGAAGCUGGAUUCGCUAGUAAUCACGCAUCAGCCACGGCGCGGUGAAUACGUUCCCGGGCCUUGCACACACCGCCCGUCAAG
rnacentral:rRNA from 1 species